CCCUUCCCAUCACAAGUGGGGGGCUGGGGGGCAGGUAUCUCAUGUUUAAACGACGAAAAUUGCAGAAAAUUCCAACAGACUAUAAACCGAAAGGAAACAAGUAAACAAAAGCCAGUUGCGGGGCAGGCAGGUAUGAUCCUCUUUAUUGUUUUAUCUCUAAAGGAUGUUCCUCACACGUAGGCUCGCCUACAUUCACUUUUCAAUCUUUUUCUUACGGUUUAGCUAGGUAAAAUAAUGUACUAGUAACUAAGAUUCACCCCCAUUUGAGGAGCUGCUAGUGGGAUUGGCUUUAGGAAAGAUCAGUGCACCAGAUUUAAAGAAGAAAAAGUUCAUGGGUUGGUUUAGGAUAUUGAUGGGCACAUUUGGUAAUGGGGCAAUAUGUAGCAUGUUCCUGAUGGGAAGAAAGCUCGAGAAACCUUGCAAUUACUUCCAAAAAGGUGACCAGCUGAUGGGAAAUGGAUAAUGACUCGGAAAUUUUAUUUAUAUUACGACAAAUCUAGGAAGCAGUCUUGGAUUUUUGGGGUUAAUAUCUACCCCAAUUGCAAGCAGAUAAUGUAUUAAAUCUCUUUCAUAAAAUAAAGUUCUUGCUUGGGUCUUCUUGUCUCUCAUGGAGUAUGGGGAGAGGGAGUGGAUGAGUUUACAUUUUCUAUUCCUUGUUUUAUGCGAACAUUGAUUUUUCUUUCUUUCCCUUAUCAUUAAGCAGUUUAUAGUCAUCCACGUGACUCCUAAAACGCCUCCUGAUCUAGCCAAAAGGCCAUAGAAUGAAAACUGAUCGCUUUCCAUUUCUGAACAAGGGGCCUAGCUGUAUCCUAUCGACUUGGAAUUAUAGCACAAUCCCGACUCGGUAGACCCAUGAACAGCCUAGUGGCUCUCGGCGAAGCUUCCCUGCAAAGAAAAUAUUUCCGGUGGCUGUCCUUCUGCGCAUACACACGGUUUGGAUUGCUUAAGAGUGCUGCCAAGAACUUAGUUGAUGUGGAUAUGGAUGACAAGAAAGAAAACAUUGUCACUUUCGGGCAAUCAGGCUAGACAUUCCUAACCCAUUGUUUUUAUCGUGGAAAAACAAAUCAGAUGUUCAAGGGUUGGGGAAAUCCAAGACAUUCAUUCCUAUCUUCACUUUUAUCUUCAUUAAUGGCUUAAUAUAUAUAAUAUAUAUUUAUAUGUAGCCGCCUUUAAAUGCUCAAAGAUGUGUCAUAAGUUGUCAAUUUAUGAUUAGUUAACUCUGCAUCUGUCACCACCCAAUAUUUUAUUUUUUUGGUGUUCUUAUAGCAAUUCCUUUGUGCUUGCAUAUGAAACUUUUUUGUUAGAGACAUGGAUUUAGGUGGCAUGCGCAAUGAGGAUUUCUUUUUCUCAGUUGUUCAUCAUUUUCGAGCAGAAAGCAGGUACAUCCGAACAGGUCUUAAUAAUUGCAACAGUUCUAGAACAUGUCCUGACCGGGAAUUAUAAUAGUAGAUCCUUUAGGUUUUCAGGAUCAGGCCAUGUUUCAGAAUUGAUUGAUAUCAAUCAAAGUGGUAUCUCCAUUAAAAUCAAAUCAGUGGUCCAAGG
rnacentral:lncRNA from 1 species